CAGGGUUUGCGGUAAGGGUGGUACUUCUCUACUUCCCACCAAGAUUUGCUUCGUUACAAGGUAUCACUCAAAAUUAUUCUGAAUUAACUCUCUCUCUGGGAAUGGUCUCUCUCAUGAUAGCCACAGUCAUUUCUUGAUGUCUAAAAUAUAGUUCUGAAAAUAUUGUCCAUUUAUUACCUCAGUACCAGCAGUUGUAUUCAGAUAUAACUGUCCCUUAAGUCAUGAAAACUGUUUUUUUCUAAUACCAAACCAAACACAGAUGUAGUUGUCAGAAAUGUAGAGUGUUCAUGAAUGGUGUUUAUCCUGUAAGUGACAGCCAGGCAUAUGUUAGAAAAUUAUUUACUUAAAUUACAAGAUUGUCAAGGGGCCAAGCAAGAGCUAUUAAGAAAAAUGCCAUUGUUCUGGGCACCACACACAAAGAGUAGCAGAGGAGACAUCUAGGCUGCAGAACUCAGAAGCUCUUCCAAGUCCUAUCUCUGGGAGCAGGCAGUGGCUGCGUCCUCACUGCCCAGUGGACUCCAGUUUGGGGAGGUCCUCCAGCUGAAAGGUGGGACUGCUCUACAAAACAUCAGGCAUGGACUUCGCAUAGGCCCUAAGAGUGCCACAUUGUGCACUUACUGGCUGAACACAUGGAAAAGUUAUGUGAAUGCUUCACCUGGCAGCCAGCUUGAAACUCCAGCACAAGGAACCACUGUGACUUCAUUUGGACUUCAAAGGGAAAUGCCACAGUUCUGCUGAACAAAUGCUCGAGAGUGCUGAGAGGCAGCAGUGAAGAGGUUAAAUAUAUAUUAAUGUGGGCCAAGAUUCUAUUUUUUACCAAAACUUGAAUGCAUGAAGAAAUUGAUCCUACUGCAUCAAAAUUUGUGUCCGAGGUUGCAGUCUUCAAUAUGCAGCCACCAUGUCUGUCCAAGAAGGCAUUUAGUUUGGUUAAUCCCACGUUAUUGAGAAUCUGGGGGGAUCUCUACAUUGUGUAGGAGAACUGUACAGUCUCUUUGCCUGUGAAGCAAAGUGACUGUGUCAACUCUUGCACAGAUUCUGUGAUGACUGGGUGUGUUGAGAAACAGGACAGAUCACUGAGGCUGCAUGGUAAUACUGGUAUGAUAUACUGUUUUCAAGGUCUAAGCUAAUGAGACUCCAAAGCUGUACAACACUGUACAACAUAGAUAUAUUAUCUCAGUUUGUGUUGUAGGAUUUGUAUCACUAUGUGACUGAGACUCAUCAUCAAAUUAAUAAGGCA
rnacentral:lncRNA from 1 species